UACGGAGGGAGCUAGCGUUGUUCGGAAUUACUGGGCGUAAAGCGCACGUAGGCGGCUUUGUAAGUUAGAGGUGAAAGCCCGGGGCUCAACUCCGGGACUGCCUUUAAGACUGCAUCGCUUGAAUCCAGGAGAGGUGAGUGGAAUUCCGAGUGUAGAGGUGAAAUUCGUAGAUAUUCGGAAGAACACCAGUGGCGAAGGCGGCUCACUGGACUGGUAUUGACGCUGAGGUGCGAAAGCGUGGGGAGCAAACAGG
rnacentral:rRNA from 1 species